GGAUGCGAUCAUACCAGCACUAUAAAGCACCGGAUCCCAUCAGAACUCUGAAGUUAAGUGUGCUUCGGCGAGAGUAGUACUAGGAUGGGUGACCUCCUGGGAAGUCCUCGUGUUGCAUUCC
rnacentral:rRNA from 1 species